rnacentral:rRNA from 1 species
UACGUAGGGUCCGAGCGUUGUCCGGAAUUAUUGGGUGUAAAGGGCUCGUAGGCGGUUUGUCACGUCGGGCGUGAAAACUCAGGGCUCAACCCUGAGCGUGCGACCGAUACGGGCAGACUAGAGGUAUGCGGGGGAGAACGGAAUUCAUGGUGUAGCGGUGGAAUGCACAGAUAUCAGGAGGAACACCGGUGGCGAAGGCGGUUCUCUGGGCAUUACCUGACGCUGAGGAGCGAAAGCAUGGGGAGCGAACAGG